rnacentral:rRNA from 1 species
UACAGAGGGUGCGAGCGUUGUCCGGAAUCACUGGGCGUAAAGGGCGCGUAGGCGGUCUCUUAAGCGUGUGGUGAAAGCCCGGGGCUCAACUCCGGAAUUGCCUUUAAAACUGCAUCGCUAGAAUUGUGGAGAGGUAAGUGGAAUUCCGAGUGUAGAGGUGAAAUUCGUAGAUAUUCGGAAGAACACCAGUGGCGAAGGCGACUUACUGGACACAUAUUGACGCUGAGGUGCGAAAGCGUGGGGAGCAAACAGG